rnacentral:misc_RNA from 1 species
GAGUGAGGGCCCUCUGGGUCCAACCUCCCACCCGUGUUUAUUUACCUUGUUGCUUCGGCGAGCCUGCCUUUUGGCUGCCGGGGGACGUCAGUCCCCGGGUCCGUGCUCGCCGGAGACACCUUAGAACUCUGUCUGAAGAUUGUAGUCUGAGAUUAAAUAUAAAUUAUUUAAAACUUUCAACAACGGAUCUCUUGGUUCC